GCUCAAAGAAAGUCGUGGAUAAGAAAAAAUAGCUGAUUAGUCCCUGAAUUUUCUACAACUUCUGCAAACUACACCAGGUAAGUUCAUAUAGUUGAAUUUUAUGAUUGAUUGUUAAAAUUAGAGAUUAUAUAAUGUAUUAUUUCAUAUCUUUGUUAUGGAAUCAUGAUUAUUAUGAUAAAAUGAAAAUCGAAACAAAAGUUCAAAUUGAG
rnacentral:lncRNA from 1 species